UGGGGAAUAUGUGCACAAUGGGCGAAACCCUGAUGAAGCAACGCCGCGGUGAGGGAUGAAGGCCUUCGGGUUGUAAACCUCUUUUAUCGGGGAAAAAAAUGACGGUACCCUAAGAGAAAACCCCGGUGAGCUUAGGGCAAGCGCCCCGGGUAUAAAAAUAG
rnacentral:rRNA from 1 species